AUUGAACGCUGGCGGCAGGCCUAACACAUGCAAGUCGAACGAGGGGCGGACGGGUGAGUAAUGUCUGGGAAACUGCCCGAUGGAGGGGGAUAACUAGUGGAAACGGUAGCAAAUACCGCAUACCAUCGGAUGUGCCCAGAUGGGAUUAGCUAGUAGGUGGGGUAACGGCUCACCUAGGCGACGAUCCCUAGCUGGUCUGAGAGGAUGACCAGCCACACGGGAACUGAGACACGGUCCAGACUCCUACGGGAGGCAGCAGUGGGGAAUAUUGCACAAUGGGCGCAAGCCUGAUGCAGCCAUGCCGCGUGUAUGAAGAAGGCCUUCGGGUUGUAAAGUACUUUCAGCGAGGAGGCGUUACUCGCAGAAGAAGCACCGGCUAACUCCGUGCCAGCAGCCGCGAUAAUAC
rnacentral:rRNA from 1 species